rnacentral:rRNA from 1 species
GACGAACGCUGGCGGCGUGCUUAACACAUGCAAGUCGAACGCUGAAGCUCAGCUUUUGUUGGGUGGAUGAGUGGCGAACGGGUGAGUAACACGUGAGUAACCUGCCUCCUUCUUUGGGAUAACGCCCGGAAACGGGUGCUAAUACUGGAUAUUCACUGGUCUUCGCAUGGGGGUUGGUGGAAAGGGUUUUUCUGGUGGGGGAUGGGCUCGCGGCCUAUCAGCUUGUUGGUGGGGUUAUGGCCUACCAAGGCUUUGACGGGUAGCCGGCCUGAGAGGGUGCCCGGUCACAUUGGGACGGAGAUACGGCCCAGACUCCUACGGGAGGCAGAAGUGGGGAAUAUUGAACAAUGGGCGCAAGCCUGAUGCAGCGACGCCGCGUGAGGGAUGGAGGCCUUCGGGUUGUGAACCUCUUUCGCUCAUGGUCAAGCCGCAACAAUGGUUGUGGUGAGGGUAGUGGGUAAAGAAGCGCCGGCUAACUACGUG